AGAAUCAACGCUGGCGGCGUGCCUAACACAUGCAAGUCGCACGAGAAAGGGGAGCAAUCCCUGAGUACAGUGGCGCACGGGUGAGUAACACGUGAAUAAUCUACCUCCGAGUGGGGAAUAACUGAGAGAAAUCUUAGCUAAUACCGCAUAACACUUACGAGUCAAAGCAGCAAUGCGCUUGGAGAGGAGUUCGCGGCCGAUUAGUUAGUUGGCGGGGUAAUGGCCCACCAAGACGAUGAUCGGUAUCCGGCCUGAGAGGGCGCACGGACACACUGGAACUGAAACACGGUCCAGACUCCUACGGAGGCAGCAGUGGGGAAUUUUGGCGCAAUGGGGGAAACCCUGACGCAGCAACGCCGCGUGGAGGAUGAAGCCCCUUGGGGUGUAAACUCCUUUCGAUCGGGAAGAUAAUGACGGUACCGAUAUAAGAAGCCCCGGCUAACUUCGUGCCAGCAGCCGCU
rnacentral:rRNA from 1 species